NNNNNNNNNNNNNNNNNNNNNNNNNNNNNNNNNNNNNNNNNNNNNNNNNNNNNNNNNNNNNNNNGACGAUAUGCUUUGGGGAGCUGUAAGUAAGCUUUGAUCCAGAGAUUUCCGAAUGGGGAAACCCAGCAUGAGUUAUGUCAUGUUAUCGAUAUGUGAAUACAUAGCAUAUCAGAAGGCACACCCGGAGAACUGAAACAUCUUAGUACCCGGAGGAAGAGAAAGAAAAUUCGAUUCCCUUAGUAGCGGCGAGCGAAACGGGAAGAGCCCAAACCAACAAGCUUGCUUGUUGGGGUUGUAGGACACUCUAUACGGAGUUACAAAGGACGACAUUAGACGAAUCAUCUGGAAAGAUGAAUCAAAGAAGGUAAUAAUCCUGUAGUCGAAAAUGUUGUCUCUCUUGAGUGGAUCCUGAGUACGACGGAGCACGUGAAAUUCCGUCGGAAUCUGGGAGGACCAUCUCCUAAGGCUAAAUACUCUCUAGUGACCGAUAGUGAACCAGUACCGUGAGGGAAAGGUGAAAAGCACCCCGGAAGGGGAGUGAAAUAGAACCUGAAACCGUGUGCUUACAAGUAGUCAGAGCCCGUUAAUGGGUGAUGGCGUGCCUUUUGUAGAAUGAACCGGCGAGUUACGAUUUGAUGCAAGGUUAAGCAGUAAAUGUGGAGCCGUAGCGAAAGCGAGUCUGAAUAGGGCGUUUAGUAUUUGGUCGUAGACCCGAAACCAGGUGAUCUACCCUUGGUCAGGUUGAAGUUCAGGUAACACUGAAUGGAGGACCGAACCGACUUACGUUGAAAAGUGAGCGGAUGAACUGAGGGUAGCGGAGAAAUUCCAAUCGAACCUGGAGAUAGCUGGUUCUCUCCGAAAUAGCUUUAGGGCUAGCCUCAAGUGAUGAUUAUUGGAGGUAGAGCACUGUUUGGACGAGGGGCCCCUCUCGGGUUACCGAAUUCAGACAAACUCCGAAUGCCAAUUAAUUUAACUUGGGAGUCAGAACAUGGGUGAUAAGGUCCGUGUUCGAAAGGGAAACAGCCCAGACCACCAGCUAAGGUCCCAAAAUAUAUGUUAAGUGGAAAAGGAUGUGGCGUUGCCCAGACAACUAGGAUGUUGGCUUAGAAGCAGCCAUCAUUUAAAGAGUGCGUAAUAGCUCACUAGUCGAGUGACACUGCGCCGAAAAUGUACCGGGGCUAAACAUAUUACCGAAGCUGUGGAUUGUCCUUUGGACAAUGGUAGGAGAGCGUUCUAAGGGCGUUGAAGCAUGAUCGUAAGGACAUGUGGAGCGCUUAGAAGUGAGAAUGCCGGUGUGAGUAGCGAAAGACGGGUGAGAAUCCCGUCCACCGAUUGACUAAGGUUUCCAGAGGAAGGCUCGUCCGCUCUGGGUUAGUCGGGUCCUAAGCUGAGGCCGACAGGCGUAGGCGAUGGAUAACAGGUUGAUAUUCCUGUACCACCUAUAAUCGUUUUAAUCGAUGGGGGGACGCAGUAGGAUAGGCGAAGCGUGCGAUUGGAUUGCACGUCUAAGCAGUAAGGCUGAGUAUUAGGCAAAUCCGGUACUCGUUAAGGCUGAGCUGUGAUGGGGAGAAGACAUUGUGUCUUCGAGUCGUUGAUUUCACACUGCCGAGAAAAGCCUCUAGAUAGAAAAUAGGUGCCCGUACCGCAAACCGACACAGGUAGUCAAGAUGAGAAUUCUAAGGUGAGCGAGCGAACUCUCGUUAAGGAACUCGGCAAAAUGACCCCGUAACUUCGGGAGAAGGGGUGCUCUUUAGGGUUAACGCCCAGAAGAGCCGCAGUGAAUAGGCCCAAGCGACUGUUUAUCAAAAACACAGGUCUCUGCUAAACCGUAAGGUGAUGUAUAGGGGCUGACGCCUGCCCGGUGCUGGAAGGUUAAGAGGAGUGGUUAGCUUCUGCGAAGCUACGAAUCGAAGCCCCAGUAAACGGCGGCCGUAACUAUAACGGUCCUAAGGUAGCGAAAUUCCUUGUCGGGUAAGUUCCGACCCGCACGAAAGGCGUAACGAUUUGGGCACUGUCUCAACGAGAGACUCGGUGAAAUCAUAGUACCUGUGAAGAUGCAGGUUACCCGCGACAGGACGGAAAGACCCCGUGGAGCUUUACUGUAGCCUGAUAUUGAAAUUCGGCACAGCUUGUACAGGAUAGGUAGGAGCCUUUGAAACGUGAGCGCUAGCUUACGUGGAGGCGCUGGUGGGAUACUACCCUAGCUGUGUUGGCUUUCUAACCCGCACCACUUAUCGUGGUGGGAGACAGUGUCAGGCGGGCAGUUUGACUGGGGCGGUCGCCUCCUAAAAGGUAACGGAGGCGCUCAAAGGUU
rnacentral:rRNA from 1 species